rnacentral:lncRNA from 1 species
GUGGCAGUCCUGAUUUUAAGGGUUUGGAUAGCAGUAUUUAAAAAUCAGAGUUACCUCCCUUUGUCAGUUUUAUUGUGUUUUGUGUGCAUUCAUAUGCAUUGACCCUAGGUCACUAUUUUUCCCUCUGAAAUGCUUUAAUUUCAUUGGAUUAGCCUCUGAUAAGAUAUCUGGUCAUUGUCUAGAUUGUCAUGUUUCUGAAAGCAUGUAUUGAACUUUUUAUUUUAAGAAUAGUUGAAUUUAUAUUGGAUUAUUACAGACCUAAACAGAUCACAGUGUGUUUGUGUGUGUGUUUUUCUGGACUGAGUACUGCUGUAACAUAUGGUGCAUUUAGGUCCACAACCUGGAUGUGUUUUUACCAUACAUUAUGGAGAUAGAUCUACUAAUAUUAAAAUAGUAAACUGUA